AUCGGUUGGCACGCCUGCCGCCGGGAGUCCAGGCAGCGGCGCGGCCCGUCAGCUGGGUGGCGGGGCGGUGAGCGGCCCUGCAGGUGAUACUUCGUUCCUCCUCCUCCCACAGGCGACGAAGGGAGUCCAUCAGGCGGUGAGGGCGGCGUCAGUGCCAUGCAGUGAGAGUGACCCGCCGCCAGCCCGCCACACGGACCGGACUGGACGGGACGGACUCAAUGCAGGAGACGUUCACCCGUAACCCCGUCCCGCCCCGACUCGUCCCGUUCCGUCCCGCCAUUGGUCCAGAGCUUCCAAGUGGACCAAACAGGGGCGGGGCGUAGUUUAGAAGGGGAUGUGAUUGCCUGACGCUCCUCCACACGCCGCGCUGCCAUUGGUGGAUAAUAAUCGGAGUCUCGUACAAUCGUGAUGACACUGGGCAUGCAUAGAGCAAGACAGGGACAGGGUGUCUCCCCAUUAGCUUCUCCGGUCGCCUUUCCCCGUGGGACGUUGCUGUCGCUGGCGAGGAGCAGUGAGAGCAAACCUUCCUCCUGGCACACCUGACGUGGCGUGCUCAUCAUGUUACCGAGCCAGCAGAUAUGGAUGAUCAGCCCCACUUCCAGUCAGGAGGAAUGGUACCAGGCAGUCAAGAUUGCAUACAACUCACGGAUCAUGGCCACACUCCAGCUCUGAGCACCUCCACACUGAUACUACAAACACAGGCUGUCUUUCCACCCCUCAACUACCACAGCCUCUCACACCUUGCCAAGUGAGGGUGGGGUUUCAUCAAUGAGUGGAUCAGCAUCCAUUAUUUGUAAUUCAGCAGUUGGAAGCUGCUUGCUCAGAGUACACCAAGUACAUAUAACCAAUUUGAGACUCACUGCACGUUUUGACAGUAUUGUUCAGAAAGAAUGAGAUAGACCAAAGAGAAGGCUGCAUAUGCAUCCCUUAGGUGAAUCUUGUGGCUCGCCUCUGAAUAUAGCUCACUGAUUGGUUCAUCCGUGUCUGCUUAACCAGUGUCUGCUUCUCAGCCACACUGUGCACGAGAGACAGAUGAAUUUCUCUCUGUGGUUGCCUGCAUCUGCAGUAGUAAUGUACACUGCUUCCACUGUUCUCUUGUCCUUCCCAACCCUGUGUGUAGAAUCUCUGCACCACUCUAGUCAGGCAAGUGACUGUAUUCGUUGGCAUGCGCCAUCAAGGAGUUUGAAGUCCUGUGGUGGCGAAGAUUGUUUUUGUGCUGGCAGGUUCUCUAUCUAACUCAUCAUGAGGUCUCUCCAAAAUAUGCUGCUGGGCAUCCACUACUGGGAAUCACGUAGACAGUGCUGUCCUCAUUCCUAUGACUUUUGUGAUGACCUCCGAAUACUGUAUCCACUACUUUCACUUCCAAGGAGUGCACUACACAGAGGCCAAUCUUAGUGAACACCCUGGUUAUUAGUUCAGCUGAUUUAGAGUAUGGCACCACCAAGUUGUCCUUUUCUUCCCCCAUGUGCACAAUGUUUCUUUCCUUAGCCUGUGUACCAAAGCAAGAGGAUGCUUAAGCUGGCUAAACUGGUUUGUUACAUAUGUACACUCAUCAUAUGGGAACUCAUCGCUACACACCCUGAAAACUUUUGAGUAGAAGCCUAUCACCACACCAGACAACAUUCUCAUGUCAUGUCAUGAUAGGAAGUGGAUGAAAUUGUUUCUUUUCUUAGGUUUUCUGUAAACCAAAAAUCUAGAAACAGACACAAAUUCAUUCACAUCCUCCUAUCACGGCACAACACGAAAACAAAAUCUGGCUUAAUGAAUUGCUUCUUCUUACAAGCUUUCAGGAUGUGUAGCGAUGAGUUCCUAUAUGACACAUGCACAUACAUAAUAAAUGUACCAUAUUCAGCUGACUUAAGCAUCCUCUUAGUUUGCUAUAGAAAAAGAAAAAGGCAGAGUGCAUAUGGAAGAAAAAUGCGGAUAGAAUGAAGAAAGAAAAAGAUGGCUUGGUGGUACCGUACUCUAAAUCCGCCAAACCUCACCAGGUUACUCACUAGGAUUAGUGUCAGUGUAAAGCACUCCUUACGACUAAAAAUACGAUACCCUGAGGUCAUCACGCAGGUAGUAGAAAUGAGGACAGCACAGUCUACAAGUUUCCCUGUAGUGGAUGCUCAGCAGCAUAUUCUGGCGUGACUUCAUGAGGGGUGAGAUAAAGAACCUGCCAGCACAGAAACAACCUUUGGCACCACAGGACUUCAAACUCCUUGGUGGUGCAUGCCGAUGAAUGCAGCCGCUUGCCAACUGGAGUGGUGCAGAAAUUCUACACACAGGAAUGGGAAGGAGGGCAAGGAGAACAAUGGAAGCAGUGUACAUUGAUACAAUGGAUGCAAGUAACCUCACAGAGGUAUUCAUCUGCCACUCACACAUCACAGUUAGCCAUACAUCAUUUUCUUCAGCAGGAUCCCAAAGUACUAGCUGAGUGAGUGAGGAUGCUGCUGACUGGCUGUAGGUGGGUGGGCGUCUGUAGUCUCCGUUACCCAACACACUGGCCUAGGGUCAGAAAAUAUUCAGAUUUCUUUACUAGGCUCAUUUGUCACACAGCAGAGGUAAACUUUGCUGAUAUCAUUGAAUUAAAGUGACUGUACAACUAUAACACAGUUUUCAAAACUGAUGAGAAGAAUCCAGAGAAUAACAUUUAAAUGUUACAACCACUUUUUACAUAAACACUUGCAGCAAUUAUAGACUCAGGCUUAGAGUAAAAUGUUUGUUCUUAUACAUAAAAUCCUACUGAAUACAAUGCUUCUCUCAGAUUUUUGAAAAAGUGUGAUAUAAGAGGAGGUAUGGUAGGAUUUGUAAAAAGUGGUAUGAAUAUUAUAUGUUAUUCUGACUUAUUUUCACCAUAAUUAUUUUUUUUGCCUUUUGCCAUAAUUAUUUUUUUACCUUUUGAGUCUUGAAAAUUGUGUUAGUUGUACAAUAACUGUUUAACCCAAUUAUGUCAACAAAAUUUGCCGGUCUUGUGUAACAGAUGAGUUAAGUAAACAAUUAUGAAUAUUUUCUGAUCCACUGCAACUGUGUUGGGAAACAGAGACGUCAGACUUCCCGCCCACCAACAGCCAAUCAGCAGCGCCCUGACUUAUCUGGCCAGGGACCCAGCGUAAGUGAAUGGACUAUGGUCAUCGUGGUGGCAGGAAGGCAGACACGGAAGAUCCAGUCAGCGCUCUUUUCUAAGGUGAUCUGCAAGAUGGUCCACCAGGAGGAUAUGUAAGCAGCCGCCUCUGCACGCCAUCUUAUUCUCUGAAAAAGGCUGCCAAUGUUCAAUGAAAUAAAGUAUAACUGCUGC